ACUUGAGAGGUGAUAUGGAUUAGGAAUCGUCUGUAUAAAUGGUAGGCAAAACCAGGGAAUUGAAGGGAGAUACAGUGCCUUUUGGAGUUAAGGGAGGCAGGAAGGAGCAGAAUCAGUUGCACGUGCAGAGAAUGUAGCCUUAGUGAGCUUUAGAGGUAUCUCUUCUAUGAUUACCAAAUAAAAAAAGAGGCUGAAAAACUUUGAGGAGUGCAUAAGGACAAAUGAGAGUGUUCACAUGGGAUGGACUCAAUCAUUUCAAUAAAGGAGGAUGCUAGAUUAUCUGCUAUAAAUGUGGAUGUCAGAGGCACUAUUGAGAGGAGAGGGCUAAAGAAGAAUUGAUUUCAGUUGGAAAAUGGAAUGUUAAGGUUCUGACUGUUAAAUUUGGUGAAAUUACAGGAGACAGUUAGUUUGAAAUCAUGACCUUGUUAACAAGAGGCUGAAGAGAAAUCAAGGCCAUUGCAGUUGAAGAAUGUAAGGAACUGUGUGAUUAAGAUGUUAGUCUAUCAUCAUGGAGACUGAGAAAGGAAAAUUCCUAGAAGGAAAUGCUUCAGUCCUUCCCUGAAGUCAUCACUGGCCCCAUUGCUUCAUGAUCGUCUUCAGAUGGCCAUACCAGGAGUCCAUCCUUCCUCCAAAUCCCUGUGGGACAGGGUCUAGUACAUUUUUAGGCAAAAGGAGCAGACUAUUAUUAUCAAUCACAGCAGCAUUACAAUUAGUAAUGGCGAUUUUUUUUCCUGCUCAUUUGCAUCAUGGGCUGUACAUGAAGCUCCGAGGAUUUGCACGUGGGCAUUUUAAAACAGGAGCUGGCUCCAAUAUAGUAAGGAGAGAGUAACAAGAAAUGAAGCUAAAAAAGUAAAUGGGAUCCAGGCUGUUCAGGAACUUCCAUACCAAAAAAAGGCAUUUGUGUUUUAUCCUAGAAGGAAAAAAAGGAAUCAUUUAUUAAUAAUAAAUGCUAUUAUUAAAUAAUUAAUAACA
ensembl:lncRNA